UUAGAAAAUGGGGGCAGGGUUUAAUUUCACAAGGGACCUUAACCCUAAACACCGGUGACUACAUUCAAAGAUUUCAUAAAUCUAACUUCUUGAUUGCAUAUUUCACAGAGACUGAUUGCACACAGUCUUACGAUAGACAGCAAAAGAAUAUUAAAAAACGUGCGGGAAGUUGAAUAAUUAUGCAUAUUCUUCGAAGAAAUUUAUUUCGGAGAAUCCCUUCCAAGUUCUUCAAUCAAGUAGUCAAGACUUGUGCAUUUUCAACUAGCACAGUUCGUGAUGUAGGACAACCAACAGCAGCCACUCACCCUCAGUUAUUGAAGGAAGGCGAGAUUACACCUGGCAUAACUAGUGAGGAAUAUGUCUCUAGACGGAAUAAACUAUUGGAACUUCUUCCAGAUAAGAGUUUAGCUAUAAUUGCAUCUGCCCCUGUUAAGAUGAUGACUGAUGUUGUGCCAUACACGUUUCGGCAAGAUGCUGACUAUUUUUACAUCACUGGCUGCCAACAACCAGGUGGCAUUGCAGUUUUAGGUCAUGAAUGUGGGUUAUGCAUGUUCAUGCCACAACCAAGUCCUGAGGAUGUUAUUUGGCAAGGUGAGAUUGCUGGAGUUGAUGCAGCUCUAGGCACAUUCAGGGCUAACAUAGCAUACCCAAUGAGUACAUUAAAUAAGAUUCUUCCAAGGAUGAUAGAAAGCUCUUCCCAGCUGUUUCAUAAUGUGAAGACAGCAAGUGCCAGUUAUGUGGGUUUGGAUGCCUUUCAAAAAGCAUCUUCCAAUGGUAAAGUGAAAGAUUUGUCAGUGCAUACUCAUGAAGCACGAUGGGUGAAAUCACCAGCAGAACUUAACUUGAUGAGAAAUUCUGCAUCUAUAGCUUGUCAGGCUCUUCUACUGACAAUGCUGCAUUCGAAGUCAUUUCCUAAUGAGGGUAUGCUGUCAGCUAAAGUGGAAUAUGAAUGCAAGAUGAGAGGUGCUGAAAGAAUGGCGUUCAACCCUGUGGUUGGUGGGGGCUGUAAUGGCAGUGUCAUACAUUAUGCUCGAAAUGAUCAGAGAAUUGAAGUUGGUGACCUUGUUCUGAUGGACAUUGGAUGUGAGCUCCAUGGUUAUGCUAGUGAUCUUACUCGUACAUGGUCACCUUGCGGCAGAUUUUCUGCAGCUCAGGAAGAACUGUAUAAUCUUAUUUUGGAGACUAAUCAGGAAUGUUUGAGGCUCGUAAAACCAGGCACAAGCAUUCGAGAAAUACACAAUUAUUCGGUUAACAAGCUGCGCAGAGGAUUUAAAGAAAUUGGAAUACUGAAGGACAAUCGACCUCGGAGUUAUCAUUUGCUAAACCCAACUAAUAUAGGGCACUAUCUUGGUAUGGAUGUCCAUGAUUGCUCUACAAUCAGCUAUGACCGUACUCUGAAGCCAGGAGUUGUAAUCACAAUUGAACCUGGAGUCUACAUCCCUUCUGAUUUUGAUGGUCCAGAGAGGUACCGAGGCAUUGGGAUAAGGAUAGAAGAUGAAGUUCUCAUCACAGAAUCAGGAUACGAGGUACUGACAGGAUCAAUCCCAAAAGAAAUUAAGCACAUAGAGUCCUUGCUCAACAGCUUCAGUAAUAGGAUGCCAAUGGACACAUAUAACGUUGUUAGAGCGACUUCCGGUUGAGAAUCUCAACAAAUCCAAAACAGGACUACGGUAAUCAUAUUUUAAAUCGUGAGAACGACUUCCAGUCGAGGUGAGGUGCAUGAAUAUUGAUUAUUUGGAGUCCAGUAUCGGUACUUGGUUAGAAGGAAAGACCGCCCCCCUUGACCAUAUCAUAUUCUUGGAAAUAAACUACAGUUUUUAGUACUAUCAAUCAUGAAAUUUCGGUACUUGGUUUGUCAGAAACAUCGUCUCCCAUGGCUUGACUUGAAGCAUUUGGAGUUUCAGAUUGAUUACAGUCUACAGUGAUCUUUCAACUCGACAGGGUUGAGUUUUUCUCCCACCCAGGAGAGUUGAUAAAAACAUCAUCUAUUUUAUUUAUUUCUAAUUGGAUUUUAUUUAUGUUUUAGAUUCUAUUUAUGUAAUUGGGCUUGUAUUGGCUUAAGCUCAUUCUACUUAUGGUUUUAUUUUUACUAUUUAAACCUAAUUUGCCUGGUAAUUUUCUUUAGUUUUUGAUGAAUUGAAGAAUAUUUUGGUGAUUUGUUGCCUAUAGCUUCUCCUUCCUCUCCCUUCCCCUCUUCCCCAUGAAUUUCUGCUGGUUCUCCGAUUUCUUCCCCCCCAUUUUCUUCGGUUCUUCCCUCUUUCUUGCUUCUUCUUUCUAUUCUUUAAUUCGUCCUACAUCACUAUCAGUAUUGGCUGAAGCAGAAAAACUCAUUCUCAGAUGCUACUAGAAAGAAAAUAAUCCCAAGGGAACUAACCCUAUAUAUGUAAGUAGCUAAAAAUUUAAUAACAUGUACCUCCUAGAAAAACUCAUUCUUCAGGCCAGUGACAACAAUGUUAUUCUUUUGGGAAAAUUGUCCGGAAGAAGUUAACCCAAGAUAUCCUUCACGAGUCUUAAUUUGGGGUUUCUUGAACAAAAGAAGAGAUUUUGAAAUCUCUUUUAUAUUCUGUAUCAAGUAAGGAAACUUGCUAAUGCACAGUAUGCGUAAAGAUUGUUGGUCUACUGUCUUUUAGAAUAAUAAGGAAAUUUUGAAACUUCUAAUUUAUAACUUAUUCAUACCAUGAUCAUAGUAGAACUAGAGCGAACAAGAACAGAUAAAACACCAAAUUACACUUCCUUCACUUCAACAGCUGGUUUUACCUCAGCAUGUUGUUAAACUUCGUUAACCUCCUCCAUCUCCUCCUCGACCGCAAAAGCUUCCACUGGAAAACACCGGGAUAGCCCAGUCGGAGUCUUGAAGGUGAUUUUUCCGUUAGGCGGAUCGUUGACAUAUACGUCACUAGGAGUCAUCCAAAUGAAUAGCUACUCAGUCUUGACACCAGUAAGUUUCUUGAUUUUGUUUGGCUCAACAUAGACUGUGAUCUCAGUUGCAUAUUGAACAACUCUUAUCAAUUUUUUCAAAUUUAUGCUCAGUUUUCUUCUUCUGUUUGAGCCAAACAAAACCUGUUUCUUUCACAUAGCCACACUCUUCCAU